UUGCAGAGGAUGGGUCUUUCUGCCCUGUAGGGAUCUAUCUAUCACUGCUGACUCUCUGUAUCUUCUCCACAUGGAAGAAGUAAUUGGAUUGUACUUUCUGCACACGACCAAGACAGCAGGGAAACCUAGAGCUGUAGGCUAAAGAACUAAGCUGUCCAGAGGAUAGAGAAGCAUCUGAUGCCUAAGAAAACUAAAUGGCUUUUUCUAACCACAAGAUCUUUCCUUUCUUUCUAUGGAGAAGCUGGGACAUGCUGAACUGCACUCACCGGGCUGCACUGAAACUUGGGAAGGUCCAUGAAGCCUUCAGGGAGUCAUGAAAAACAUAACCACCCAAAUAAUCCCUGCUGAAAACCAGCCCAGGGGCAUUAAAUGUCUGUGAAUACAUGAAACAAUAAAUCAUGCUGUGGAAUGCUAACAGUUAGGGGCAUUUCUUAAAAUUACAAUACAGAGGCAUUACUGUGAAAUAUGGUGGUGUUUUCACAACAUUAGGACCUCUAUGUCCUACCACAUAGGUGGGGUAUAUGGUUAUGCAGGAGCAACUGCAACCCUUAAGGCCAGAAAAAAUAAAAAAACCCCACCCAGUUAUUUCAUAUAUUUCCAGAUAGGGUUGUAUCUAUAAUUAUACCAUUACAAACUUCCAUGUUUUAACCAUAAGCAUUGUGCUGUUUCUUUAUUUAAAGACGCCAGAAUUCUGACAUUAUCAUGUUGGAGUGAUUUGGGGAAAGUGGUGAGAUUGCCAAGACAUUAUGCUGUUAGGUCUGGGCCUGUGUGCCUCCCUCAUCAGCAUAACCAUUAAUCUCAUCAAGACUAAGGACAUGAGGAGGAUGAGGCCUCCAGUACCUGACGGUGAAAGCAUGGUAGCACAAGGCUCGAAACUGAAAGCAGCCAGACUUUGGACAAAGAAUGAGUAGGGAAGUUGCUGAGAUCUCCACACAGGUGUCUGACACCACUCCCACCAAGGUGGGUGCAAAACUAUCUCACAACUCAGCUUCCCUUCCCCAGUCCCUGAGGAUGCAGCUUCCACCAAGACAGAUCCCAUCUUUGCCUUCCCAGGUAAGGCUGGGAUACCAGUAUGAGAGAGAGUUGGGCAAAUUUUGUCAUUUUUUGACAUACCAUAACUUUGCUAUUUUUUCCAUUCUGAUAUUUUUUGUCAUGACAGCACUACACUCAAAUAUCUAUGAAACUAUUUAUUUAUGUAGUCUUUUUAAAUUAUACAGGACUAUGGAUGGAAUGAGUAGUUUACUGAAGGAUAAUGCUUAAGAAAGGGAAAUCAGCUACUGUGUUGUGGUUUAGAAAGCAGACCACUAAACUAAUGUUGUUUUCCAACAAGCCACUCUGAGUUACAGGAUAGAAUAAAAGUCAUCUCAAAAAAAAAAUGAAA